GUGUUUUGUAUUGAAGUCCAAUGGAGC
rnacentral:piRNA from 1 species